rnacentral:rRNA from 1 species
GACGAACGCUGGCGGCGUGCCUAAUACAUGCAAGUCGAGCGGAUGGAAGGGAGCUUGCUCCCUGAAGUUAGCGGCGGACGGGUGAGUAACACGUGGGCAACCUGCCUGUAAGACUGGGAUAACUUCGGGAAACCGGAGCUAAUACCGGAUACGUUCUUUCCUCGCAUGAGGAAAGAUGAAAAGAUGGUUUCGGCUAUCACUUACAGAUGGGCCCGCGGCGCAUUAGCUAGUUGGUGGGGUAACGGCCCACCAAGGCGACGAUGCGUAGCCGACCUGAGAGGGUGAUCGGCCACACUGGGACUGAGACACGGCCCAGACUCCUACGGGAGGCAGCAGUAGGGAAUCGUCCGCAAUGGACGAAAGUCUGACGGAGCAACGCCGCGUGAGCGAAGAAGGCCUUCGGGUCGUAAAGCUCUGUUGUCAGGGAAGAACAAGUGCCAGAGUAACUGCUGGCACCUUGACGGUACCUGACCAGAAAGCCACGGCUAACUACGUGCCAGCCGCCGCUGUAA